rnacentral:rRNA from 1 species
UAUAGAUGGAUCCGCGCUGCAUUAGCUAGUUGGUAAGGUAACGGCUUACCAAGGCAACGAUGCAUAGCCGACCUGAGAGGGUGAUCGGCCACACUGGAACUGAGACACGGUCCAGACUCCUACGGGAGGCAGCAGUAGGGAAUCUUCCGCAAUGGGCGAAAGCCUGACGGAGCAACGCCGCGUGAGUGAUGAAGGUCUUCGGAUCGUAAAACUCUGUUAUUAGGGAAGAACAUAUGUGUAAGUAACUGUGCACAUCUUGACGGUACCUAAUCAGAAAGCCACGGCUAACUACGUGCCAGCAGCCGCGGUAAUACGUAGGUGGCAAGCGUUAUCCGGAAUUAUUGGGCGUAAAGCGCGCGUAGGCGGUUUUUUAAGUCUGAUGUGAAAGCCCACGGCUCAACCGUGGAGGGUCAUUGGAAACUGGAAAACUUGAGUGCAGAAGAGGAAAGUGGAAUUCCAUGUGUAGCGGUGAAAUGCGCAGAGAUAUGGAGGAACAC